UACGUAGGGGGCAAGCGUUGUCCGGAAUCAUUGGGCGUAAAGAGCGUGUAGGCGGCCAGAAAAGUCCGCUGUGAAAACUCGAGGCUCAACUUCGAGCUGUCGGUGGAAACUUUCUGGCUAGAGUCCGGAAGAGGAGAAUGGAAUUCCUGGUGUAGCGGUGAAAUGCGCAGAUAUCAGGAGGAACACCCGUGGCGAAGGCGGUUCUCUGGGACGGUACUGACGCUGAGACGCGAAAGCCAGGGGAGCAAACGGG
rnacentral:rRNA from 1 species